GAUCUCAGCCCACAGACACAGCUCCACCUUAGGGCUUGCAUAGGGCAGCUGCCCUUGAACUCCCAUCAAGAAAAGCCUGGCACCACCAGCUUGGGCAGUAGCUCUGAACAUUAGCUGCUCAGUGGUGGUGCUUACAUCCCUGCUUCUCUGACUGGUCAUUCCCUGCGCCAGUUGGAGGAGUGCUGCCUGUCUGCACGAUGGGAAUUGCUUUGAGGUCUGGCCAGCAUGCUGCCCCAGCCAGUUGGGAAGAUGUGUCUGCACUCCUGGUCAGCACUACUAUCUGCCCUCUGAUUUUUGAAGGGAAAUUGUAGUGACUUCUUCAGCUGGAAGCCUUGUGACCAGCUGAGCCUUCUCCGUGUUCGUGACAAGAAACCCACAUUUGUGGCUCUUUAAGGUUGGACCCUGAUUCCUCAAGGACUGGGACACACAACUGACAUAAGAGCACACCAACCAAAAAUCAGAUUCAGGAAAUGAUGCAAGUUUAAUUUCUGUUUGAAAUGUUCAGAAAUAUGGCACCUUGGAAAAGGAGAUUUUCCAGACCUGAGACUGGGCUGAGUAUAUGACUACUCAUACUUUUGUCUGGCUCAAAAUACAGGUUGUAAAAGACUUUGCAAACUGGCUUUGAAUAGUACUGGAGGCAAUCCAAAGCCAAAUUUAAUUUGAGUUUUCUGUCUCAGCUGAUACAAAUUCUACAAGAGUGAAAAUGUGUUCUAUAGGUCUUCUUAGGCACUUUACUACAUAGGAGGAGCUGUAAGUCCAGAAUUUGAAACUUCAGCACAUCCUUAACAAGGAUGCAACUGAAAUAAAUCACUUCC